AUCUAUAUAUGUAAUAUCACAAAACAUUUUUGGAUUUGAAAUUACAGAUUAAAGUGUGUUUCAUGGGUAUAUAGACAUAUUACACGACAUAGACACGAAUAUAUAGGAUUAUAAUGAUAUCUUGAGCACAAAGGAAAGACACGAGAGGAAUCUGCCAUGUAAUUCGUGGAGGGUUCCUAAAAUGAUAAGUCUGCAAAAAAAAUUUUGAUAAAAAUGUUCAGAAGACGACAAACCUAGUUUGUCAUUUAUGGAAAGUGAAUGGUGCGAGAAGCUUCAUGAAACUCAGGGGUAAGUUGCUACUUUUGCUUUUUAUUUUUCUAUUUCUGACAUUUUCACCAUUCCCUAGCAAAUUAAAGACAGGUUUAUGAAUUGUCUUUCUAUUUUUUUCUCUUUUAGUUCUUGCUAUGGCAAUAUUAAUCCAUUGGUUAUAAUAUUAUGAUAAUAAAUCUACACAUUAAACGA